UCCGGUGGCGAUGCGCUUAGGGGUAACACCCGUUCCCAUCCCGAACACGAUGGUUAAGACCUAAGCGGCCGAUGGUACUUUACUGGAGACGGUACGGGAGAGUAGGUGGCUGCCGGAU
rnacentral:rRNA from 1 species